rnacentral:lncRNA from 1 species
GUUCUUAGGGCCCCAGGAGGCGAGUCUGAGUGGAACCUGGCUGGGGUAGGCUGAAAGGUGACUUCGACGCUCUUCUGAGGCCUCAGACGUGUGUGAUGACUGCCCUGUAGAAUCAGUGCUGUGACCCCGAGUAACAACGCGCGCUUGAGUUGGUAUAAACUCCUGAAGAGUGUAGUCCUGCAAUUUACAAGAAAAAGUUAAGUGUAAAAUAGCCUCAGGCAUGUCCUUCAGGAGGGAUUCCAGAGGCAUUGUUAUAGACGAUGACAGCUCUGUGUGUGUUAUUGCCACUGAAGACCUUCCAUGGGACGCGAUGUGGAGCUGGAAGUCAGUGAUAUUGAUGAUCCUGACACAGUCCUAGGAUAAGGCCCAUGCUAUAUGAGCUUGACUUCUGGAAGGCUGGAGACUGAGUAAAUUCAGGAGUUAAGUUCAGUCACCCAGGCACCAUGGACACCAGCAUUCAGACGAGAUUACCUGUUUGGCACUACUUUGCACAUGCUGGCACACACCAUGGUGGGAAGAAUUAAGUGCUGUUGCCAUGCAAUUCUAAUGGAAGGGGAAAACUGGAAGCUUGUGCCUCGUCUCUCCUGGACUUUGUCCAGUGCCUUCUCCCAUUGUUCAUUGUUGCCUGCAUCCUUCGCCUUGAGUUUGAGUAUGGCAGCUCUUCUGGAUCCCAGGAGUCCUUCCAGCAAAUCAUUGAGCCUGAGUGGUCCUGGAGACCAGUGGCACACCUUUGUUCAAGAUAAUGGUUCACUUCUCAAUCAAUAAAAAUGUACUUGUAGACGCAUUCAUUGCUUUUCACUGGUGGGAACAAAACUGUUUGAAACGGUACUAUUUUGUUUACUAAUCACUAGGCUCUAAUUCUUCUGUUGUAUUAACUGUUGCUUUGUAUUGGCUUAGGGUUUAUCAAGUUUAUCAACGCCAGCUCAUUAACAGGUAUUGAAUGGGUUCUGGGGAUAGAGUGGUGAACACAAAUUCUGGCCUUUACUCUUCGUUUCCUGUGUGCAUUGAAGGGUAUUAAAUUCCCAAAAAGGUCUGGCAAUAUCCCC